UUACAGAAAAAGAAUAAUGAAAUAAAAUAGAUUUGGAUAUUAAACUUACAUGAGCAUCAGAACCAUCUCUGAGUGCAGAAUCUCCUCUCCAUAUAACUCUUUGGUCCAAAGGCAAUUUUCCGGAGCGUUGAGCUUCGAAAUACAAAAGACUCUUCGUAAGAGCUUCUCCAU
rnacentral:sRNA from 1 species